AAGAUGAGAAGGAAAAUUCCUGAGAAUACUCUUUAAUCUUUCCCAAGCUUGGUAAGGAUUCUCUCUAUCUUUCUGGAUGAAACUUAGAAUCUCAUUUCUCAAAU
rfam:Capsicum annuum cultivar Zunla-1 chromosome 12, whole genome shotgun sequence